GACGAAGGGCGCGGGUGCUAUUCGUUUUGAUUGGGUGUAAAGGGUAGGUAGGCGGUUUCUGUAUUUUUCUUGGACAAACGUGCGGAGAGUUCCUACGCGAAGUCCUUUUUUUAAAAAGAAUCUUGUGUUGGGGAGAGGUUUAGGCAAAUUCGCUUUAGUAGGGGUAGAAUCCAUCAAUAUGCGAAUGAACGUCAGCUGGCGCAGGCGCUUUUCCAGUCCCAACAGACGCUGAGCUACGGAAGCUUAGGGAGCAAACGGG
rnacentral:rRNA from 1 species